CCUUACCGGAGCCGAGGGACGGUUGGUGUUUGCGCCAACGGUCUGGGGACACGUGCCACGCCCGCUCCUGGGGAUCACCGACCAGGGACUAAACCCUGGCUCCCCACAGUGAAAGUCUUAACCAGCGGACCACCAAGGAAUUCCCGAUGGUACUCAGUUUUAAUCAUCCUAUCUCAUACAAGAUGCCUGGAGCUACAGCAACAAUCUUGUGAUCAUGAAACAUCGAACAUGAAGACAAAUGUCUAAUAAAUUAGUGCAGCAUAAACCAUAAAGUCUGGUUUGUUGACAGCAUCAUUGGCAGAUGUUAGCAACUCCUGUCUCACCUGAUUUUGUGUGGAAAAACAAACCCUUAUCUUAAAACCCAAAU